rnacentral:rRNA from 1 species
AUUUUUCUCGAAUUGUCAAUCUUUUUUAAACCGAACCAUUUCGUGUGUGUGUCGGUAUACCUAGUGAAUUCAAUAAAACAUCAUUAAUUAAAACGAAGGUUUUCGCGCGUUUUAAUCACUCACGUACGAGACCCUGAAGAUAUUGGCACCCGCCAACCAUUUCAGGCUUAGUCGGGUCCUUCCGCCCCUCCACAAACAAUAAUAGUGUGCAUUUUUUCCAUAUAAGGACAUUGUAGUCUAUUAACAUAAACCAAAUUUAUCGUAAAAUAUGACUUAUAGUUUAUUUAAAUUAUUUUGCUUGCAUUUUAACAUAGAAUAAAUGUCAUUAAUUUGAUAAAGUGUUGAUAGAUUUAUAUGAAUACAGUGCGUUAAUUUUUCGGAAUUAUAUUAUAGCAUGAUUAUCAUUGAUUUUCUGUGUUUUUUCUAUGCACUUGUAUGAUUAACAAUGCGAAAGAUUCAGGAUACCUUCGGGACCCGUCUUGAAACACGGACCAAGGAGUCUAACAUAUGUGCAAGUUAUUGGGAUAUAAACCUAAUAGCAUAAUUAACUUGACUAAUAAUGGGAUUACUUUUUUAACUAUGUAUAGAUUAUGUUAUGUAUAAUGAUAUUUAUAUUAUUCAUACCUCUAACUGGAACGUACCUUGAGCAUAAAUGCUGUGACCCGAAAGAUGGUGAACUAUACUUGAUCAGAUUGAAGUCAGGGGAAACCCUGAUGGAAGACCGAAACAGUUCUGACGUGCAAAUCGAUUGUCAGAAUUGAGCAUAGGGGCGAAAGACCAAUCGAACCAUCUAGUAGCCAACUUCCUUCCGAAGUUUCCCUCAGGAUAGCUGGUUGCAUUUAAAUGUUAUAUAAAAUAAUCUUAUCUGGUAAAGCGAAUGAUUAGAGGCCUUAGGGUCGAAACGAUCUUAACCUAUUCUCAAACUUUAAAUGAGUAAGAACCUUAACUUUCUUGAUAUGAAGUUUAAGGUUAUGAUAUAUUGUGCCCAGUGGGCCACUUUUGGUAAGCAGAACUGGCGCUGUGGGAUGAACCAAACGUAAUGUUACGGUGCCCAAAUUAACAACUCAUACAGAAACCAUAUAAGGCGUUGUUUGCUUAAAACAGCAGGACGGUGAUCAUGGAAGUCGAAAUCCGCUAAGGAGUGUGUAACAACUCACCUGCCGAAGCAACUAGCCCUUAAAAUGGAUGGCGCUUAAGUUGUAUACCUAUAAAUUACCGCUAAAGUAGAUGAUUUAUAUUAUUUAUAAUAUAAAUUUUGAAACUUUAGUGAGUAGGAAGGUACAAUGGUGUGCUUAGAAGUGUUUGGGUAAGCCUGCAUGGAGCCGCCAUUGGUACAGAUCUUGGUGGUAGUAGCAAAUAAUCGAAUGAGACCUUGGAGGACUGAAGUGGAGAAGGGUUUCGUGUGAACAGUGGUUGAUCACGAGUUAGUCGGUCCUAAGUUCAAGGCGAAAGCCGAAAAUUUUCAAGUUUCAAAAAUGUCAAAGGAAAUAAUAAAUAAUAAAACACUUGAAUAAUUUUGAACGAAAGGGAAUACGGUUUCAAUUCCGUAACCUGUUGAGUAUCCGUUUGUUAUUAAAUAUGGGCUUCGUGCUCAUCCUGGCAACAGGAACGACCAUAAAGAAGCCGUCGAGAGGUAUCGGAAGAGUUUUCUUUUCUGUUUUAUAGCCGUACUACCAUGGAAGUCUUUCACAGAGAGAUAUGGUAGAUGGGCUAGAAGAGUAUGACAUACACUAUUGUGUCGAUAUUUUCUCCUCGUACCUUGAAAAUUUAUGGUGGGGAUACGCAAACUUCUCAACAGGCCGUACCAAUAUCCGCAGCUGGUCUCCAAGGUGAAGAGUCUCUAGUCGAUAGAAUAAUGUAGGUAAGGGAAGUCGGCAAAUUAGAUCCGUAACUACGGGAUAAGGAUUGGCUCUGAAGAUUGAGAUAGUCGGGCUUGAUUGGGAAACAAUAACAUGGUUUAUGUGCUCGUUCUGGGUAAAUAGAGUUUCGAUCAUUUAUGAUAGUUAUUUGUUCCCGGAUAGUUAGUUACGUUGCCAAUUGUGGAACUUUCUUGCUAAAAUUUUUAAGAAUACUAAUUUUUAAUUAGUUCUUUUAAAUAAUAACGAUUAUCAAUUAACAAUCAAUUAAGGACUGGCACGGACUUGGGAAAUCCAACUGUCUAAUUAAAACAAAGCAUUGUGAUGGCCCUAGCGGGUGAUGACACAAUGUGAUUUCUGCCCAGUGCUCUGAAUGUCAAAGUGAAGAAAUUCAAGUAAGCGCAGGUCAACGGCGGGAGUAACUAUGGCUCUCUUUCACAUCUUGCAAAAAUGCUAUCGUACGCACGGGAGCGGGGACUUGAACGGAAAGGCUGCGUUGUCCAUAUCGAACCAAGUCUGCAAUGCGACUCGGGCUUAAAUAAACCGGAGGACCUGGUGGGAAUCCGACAGAAUCACAUUUAUGUGAUAGACGUUUAGAUUGUGACAGGCGGACAUUCCUUAGACCAAGCGCACCAGCGCAAGGUCGAAAGGUAUGACAGAGCUGACAUAAGAUCACAAAUGCGGCGAUUUUUCGGAGUGACAGGUGAAAUCGAGUUUCAUUUCGUUACACUCAACUGGAGAGGAAUCUGGAGCGGUCAGUCGGUAAAACGAUUGAUUGCAAUAGAUCUCCUCAUCGCUGAAGAUACCAAACUCAUCAGCGUCAGAGCAGUAAAUGGCGGAGUGACGGCUUUCAAAUAUUUCAUGUAUUGUGCUGGGUAUACUCGAAGCUAGAUGUACUAACCUCUAGUUUCUCUUAUACUUUUGCCGUCUACCUUGGCAUUCUAUCUAAAAAGGUACAAACAUCGCAUUGUCAAAAAGAGGUCGUUUUAGUGCGUAGGCGCUGUGGGACUUCAUUGUCCCGAUGAUGCAGCGAAUCGUGCAUACGAGAUUGUCCAGUAGUUGGUUGCUCGUAUCUUUAGAAGAUAGCCAAAUGACUCGUCAUCUAAUUAGU